GACGAACGCUGGCGGCGUGCUUAACACAUGCAAGUCGAACGGAAAGGCCCUGCUUUUGUGGGGUGCUCGAGUGGCGAACGGGUGAGUAACACGUGAGUAACCUGCCCUUGACUUUGGGAUAACUUCAGGAAACUGGGGCUAAUACCGGAUAGGAGCUCCUGCUGCAUGGUGGGGGUUGGAAAGUUUCGGCGGUUGGGGAUGGACUCGCGGCUUAUCAGCUUGUUGGUGGGGUAGUGGCUUACCAAGGCUUUGACGGGUAGCCGGCCUGAGAGGGUGACAGGCCACAUUGGGACUGAGAUACGGCCCAGACUCCUACGGGGGGCAGCAGUGGGGAAUAUUGCACAAUGGGCGGAAGCCUGAUGCAGCAACGCCGCGUGCGGGAUGACGGCCUUCGGGUUGUAAACCGCUUUCGCCUGUGACGAAGCGUGAGUGACGGUAAUGGGUAAAGAAGCACCGGCUAACUACGUG
rnacentral:rRNA from 1 species